AUACGGAGGGGGUUAGCGUUGUUCGGAAUUACUGGGCGUAAAGCGCACGUAGGCGGAUUGGAAAGUUGGGGGUGAAAUCCCAGGGCUCAACCCUGGAACUGCCUCCAAAACUAACAGUCUAGAGUUCGAGAGAGGUGAGUGGAAUUCCAAGUGUAGAGGUGAAAUUCGUAGAUAUUUGGAGGAACACCAGUGGCGAAGGCGGCUCACUGGCUCGAUACUGACGCUGAGGUGCGAAAGCGUGGGGAGCAAACGGGAUUAGAAACCCCGGUAGUCC
rnacentral:rRNA from 1 species